UGCCCAGCAACUCCUAUCCCUACCUCCUCGUGAUAAUAGUCGGUGUGCGAGUAACCUUGGGGAAGAUUGGGUAACCAACCGGUGGGAACUUUGGUCGUAUGCUGACAGGGAAGA
rnacentral:ribozyme from 1 species